rnacentral:lncRNA from 1 species
CAAUAACCCUCUUAUUAUAAAACGCGGUAUCAAAUAAGUAUCGGCUUUUGUACUUCCUUUAAUCCACCUUUAAGUACGACCUUGAAAAAACGUUAUUACAAAACGCAGUUUAUCGCAAGUCCUAUUACUAUCUGUAGUACAAAAGAUAAACCAUCGAGCCCCCUAGUUUAACUGCAGUACUUAGUCGACAAACGUCAAAUUCCGACAUUAUUUACUUUUGAGGUUAUUUGUUUUGUGAUGAAAAAAACGAAAGUGGAUAUAAAUAUGUGUGAUUUGGAAUACUUGGAUGUGUUAGAAUACUAUUGAGAGUGUCCGGGGACCCAACAGAAUGCGUCAUCGACAAAAUCUCUUCAAAUUACCUGACGACAAUUUUCGAUAUAAAUAUCGAUUUACGUUUUUCGAAAUAAUAGUCAAUUGAAUGCAUGAUGAUAAUCCAGGAUGAUCCUAUGAUGCUCAACUGGGCUCGCCAUAAAAUUCAAGACUAUUUUGGCGUUUUGCACGCCGUAUCUCUGCCAGUAAUAUGCAAUGUUUGUAAAAGACUGGAAGCUUGCUAAAAUGUACAAAAAUGCCAAGAUGAGAAAGGGAACAAGAUUGUGUGAUGAAGAACAGUGUCCAACAUGUAUCAGUGCAUUUGACUGUAUAAAUAGACAUCGGAAUAAAAUAUAAUUUUCUACUUU